UACAGAGGGGGCAAGCGUUGUUCGGAAUUACUGGGCGUAAAGGGCGCGUAGGCGGCCCGCUAAGUCGAACGUGAAAUCCCCGAGCUCAACUCGGGAACUGCGUCCGAUACUGGUGGGCUUGAAUCCGGGAGAGGGAUGCGGAAUUCCAGGUGUAGCGGUGAAAUGCGUAGAUAUCAGGAGGAAUACCGGUGGCGAAAGCGACUCUCUGGACGGUUACUGACGCUGAGGCACGAAAGCGUGGGGAGCAAACAGG
rnacentral:rRNA from 1 species